GUUCCGUAGUAGGCCGUGAGUAGAUGCCUGCCCAGUGAUUCUUCAACGGCCGCGGGAUCCUACACCGUGCAAAGGUAGCAUAAUCAUUUGUCAUCUAAAUAGUGACUAGUAUGAAUGGCCCAAUGAGGACUUUCCUGUCUCUUGUAACCAAUCAAUGAAACUGAUCUUUCAGUCCAAAAGCUGAAAUACUCACACAAGACGAAAAGACCCUGUGGAACUUUAAGUGCUAAUCAACACAUGACACAAACACUUUUAGUUGGGGCAACUUUGGAACAAAACAGAACUUCCAAUAAUAGACCACCUCUAACAAACCAAGGCCCACACGCCAAUGUUUGCCUCUUAUAUUGAUCCAGUAUUACUGAUCAAAGAAACAAGCUACCCCAGGGAUAACAGCGCCAUCCCCUCUUAGAGUCCCAAUCGACGAGCGGGGCUUACGACCUCGAUGUUGGAUCAGGGCCCCCAAACAGUGCAGCAGCUGUUAAAGGUUUGUUUGUUCAACAAUUAAUGCCCUACGUGAUCUUUCCAGAAACCAGACUCUGUUCGACAUAAUACUCUGGCACGGCUGGAUCACGACCUUACUAACCGAUAGCAGUGGGCCCGUCUCUUUCUUCUAUAUGAGUGGAGGAGGAGACCAUGCGCUACUCCAGAACUUGUUUUGAUAUUUGAUCAACGAAACACUCAAACUAGGGUGAUAGAGAUGAAAUAUAAUAUUUAGGUGAGUGGGAGGAGACGAGAGAUAAUCAAUUAGUGGAA
rnacentral:rRNA from 1 species